rnacentral:rRNA from 1 species
ACGCUCGACACCUACGGGAGCAGCAGUGGGGAAUAUUGCACAAUGGGGGAAACCCUGAUGCAGCGACGCCGCGUGAAGGAAGAAGUAUUUCGGUAUGUAAACUUCUAUCAGCAGGGAAGAAACUGACGGUACCUGACUAAGAAGCACCGGCUAAAUACGUGUCAGCAGCCGCGGUAAUCUGAGCGGGCUGGCAAGGC